rnacentral:rRNA from 1 species
UAUUGCACAAUGGGGGAAACCCUGAUGCAGCGACGCCGCGUGAGUGAAGAAGUAUCUCGGUAUGUAAAGCUCUAUCAGCAGGGAAGAAAAUGACGGUACCUGACUAAGAAGCCCCGGCUACCUACGUGCCAGCAGACGCGGUAAUCCGCAGGGGGCAAGGGUUAUCCGGAUUUACUGGGUGUAAAGGGAGCGUAGACGGCGCUGCAAGUCCGGAGUGAAAGCCCAUGGCUUAACCAUGGUACUGCUCUGGAAACUGUGGAGCUUGAGUGCGGGAGGGGCAGGCGGAAUUCCUAGUGUAGCGGUGAAAUGCGUAGAUAUUAGGAGGAACACCGGCGGCGAAGGCGGCCUGCUGGACCGUAACUGACGUUGAGGCUCGAAAGCGUGGGGAGCAAACAGG